rnacentral:rRNA from 1 species
GACGAACGCUGGCGGCGUGCUUAACACAUGCAAGUCGAACGGAAAGGCCCUGCUUUUGUGGGGUGCUCGAGUGGCGAACGGGUGAGUAACACGUGAGUAACCUGCCCUUGACUUUGGGAUAACUUCAGGAAACUGGGGCUAAUACCGGAUAGGAGCUCCUGCUGCAUGGUGGGGGUUGGAAAGUUUCGGCGGUUGGGGAUGGACUCGCGGCUUAUCAGCUUGUUGGUGGGUAGUGGCUUACCAAGGCUUUGACGGGUAGCCGGCCUGAGAGGGUGACCGGCCACAUUGGGACUGAGAUACGGCCCAGACUCCUACGGGAGGCAGCAGUGGGGAAUAUUGCACAAUGGGCGGAAGCCUGAUGCAGCAACGCCGCGUGCGGGAUGACGGCCUUCGGGUUGUAAACCGCUUUCGCCUGUGACGAAGCGUGAGUGACGGCAAUGGGUAAAGAAGCACCGGCUAACUACGUG